rnacentral:lncRNA from 1 species
AAGACAGCAAGGAGGAAUAUAUGGGAGGAUUUAGAGGUAGGAGAGGGAAGAGGGAAAUGAAUAAUUAUCUCAAAAAAUGUUAACCUUCAUCCCAAUUAACCAUUAGCUUCUAUGUUAACUUCUUGAAAUUAUCAGAUUGGACAAAAUGCAGCAGCCAAAGCAUCCUGUUUAUAAGGAGCACACUGUGAACAAAAGCAUGCUCAAAGCAAAGGAGACCCCAAGUUCCAGCAGAACUCUCUCUUAAAUCGCACCAAUGCCUGACUGAAAAAACAGACAGUUCUUAGGUCUGUCAGACCAAAACCACUGCUGUGUUGUCCCACCUUGCUCAAAUUAGAGGGACAAACAAGCAACAAAGAUGAGUCAUAGCUUACCAGAGCAAAUGCCACCAAAAUUCCACCCAAGGGUGGAAACACUAAGAGAUUAUGAGCUGACCAAUGGAACAUUUUGAGUGAGAACUUCAAGGCAGAGAACAUACAUUUUGUGUUUAACUCUUCAGUCUCUGCUACAGCCACAUUGGGAAGACUGGAGACUCUUCUGGGUGUGGAGAAAGUAAGUUCUAAGAUGUUCCUAAAGCAUAUUAGAGUUUUAUCAAAGCCUAGCUAACCCUUAGGAAGGAAAAAUACCCAAUUGCAUACCCCAUGUUUUUCUCUCCCACCUGAGAUAGGAAAACAAACCGAGAGACAGUUCAGAAGCUCACACACAGCCCAGAGGAGCAGGCCCAAUGAAAGACUGAAACCUGAUCAGAGUGUAGUAGAAACACAUCCAUUCCCAUCUUGAAAUCAGAGUAGCUGAUUACCAACAAAAGACCCUCAUAAGAUGGGGCCUGUUGUCCCCUGAAGUGGGGAACAGGUCAUAAGACCCUCACCUUAAAGGACAGUCAUCAUCAUUCCAGCCCUUCUAUGCCACACUACCAGCUGCAUGUAAACCUGCCCAGCUAAACUUAAUCCCAGGAGAUGCUGCAAUUUAAAGGGAUAAAAAGCUAACUGAAUGGGGAGUCCACCUAGGUGAGGUCAUUCCUUAUCCUGAGGUGGGACUUCUACAAUACAUCUGUUUGGGGUCACCUACACUCCCGUCAUUUACCCUCCACCGCAAUCCUUCUCUAAGCCCAAUAUACUCAUUGGCUCACCAAACUCGACUUGGAUGGAAUUGUUCAUUUAUUCUAUCCCUGGCUCUCUCUCUGGAGUGAGCAGACAUUUGUUCAUGCCUCCUCUGGAAAAGUGGUGAGAGCAUGGCAUCUGGGCAGGGACAUGACAGAAGCAAAGAUGAAUAGAAGGAGUCAUUCCAUUAUCUCUGCUGUGGGUGAUGACACACAUAGCUGCCCAGAGGUGGAGUGUCUGCAAGGCCAGGUCCCUGUGACUGUCCUCCACGUGAUAUGGAAUGGCUUACGGUCUGCUGUAGUAGCAACUGCAGAGGCCCAAAUAUGGACGGUGAAGCACACAGUUGAGGAUUAACUGUCUUGCCCGGAGGGAAGGUCAGAUUGAAGAGUCUACAGAGGAAAUGGGCCAUUUUGUUCUAAGUCCUACGAAGUUGCACACCUUGAUGAAUGUGAGCCACCAAAAGAUACAGAGAUACCAAAACAAAACAACUGUCGGAUGGACCAGAAAAGGGAUUACUGAAUACAGAUGUGGACCAGAGACGUAAGGAACCUGCUUUGGGAGUUACAACCUUGCGAAAGGUAAUAAUGUUACCAGGGAAUCUAAAUCUAUAAAACCACCACAUCUAAGAAAUUAGGGAAAAGUUAGUCAUAGUAAAGGGAGUUGUUUCUAGUUUGAAAAACGAGGAAGAAUAUCCCUUGUUUCUGUUGGCACCAUCUCAGAGUCUGUCAGGCCCUGGGACACAGAGCCGGGUUGGCAGUUAAGAGAGAAUGCAGCCCUGCUCCCCCUUAGCCCAUGCUAGGCAGAAUAACACAAGCUAGACUGGCCAGCCAUUGAGGAUAGGGAGAGUCCCAUAAAACCCAAGCAUGAGGGGGAAAAGGUUCCUAGACUAGAAAGCGUUAAAUAAGGUAGUGCCUGCCAUCUUCUGCACUGCAGGCAAUGUGACUCUUUUGAGAAAAAAACAGAACAGUGAGAUCUUCCCUGCUCAUGCUCUAUUGAGCCUUGCUAACUUCUAAGUACACAUUUUGCCACUGGAUCCUGAUACCAAUGCCUGCUUUCUUAGGAGACCCUACCAAAUGGUUUUAUUAUAUAAUGGUAACCUCUAGGUGUCUUACAGAUGGAGGAGGGCAUCUAAAAUAUGUGCAAGGACUCCUAAAGGAGCAAGUUUCUUCUUCUUUCCUACUAACCCAAAAGUUCAAUUUUAUUAUCACGAUUUGAGUGGCCAACAUGUUGGGCAUAUGUAACUCAAUAUCAACUUCCCAAGCCGCCUUCAGGGUGGGGAAAUAUGGAGUCUAGGCAAAAGCCAGAGAAGCCAGGAAAAGGUUUCUUCAUUCUAAUUCCUGACUCUUCUCUUUCUGGUGGUUAAGGAACCCCAUAGUAUCAGGGACAUUUAGGGCAGAGAGUUCAGAGAAUAUUGGAUGAUCUGGAAAUUGGGUGUAAAUAUGCUUCUAUUCAAAGCAAAUCCAUCCCCAUAGAUUAUGUCUGCCAAUGUAUAGGUCUUUCUUAGGAAUGCAAGAUUUAAGAAGAUUAAAUGAAUGUACAGUGAAAUUUCUCUUAUAACUGAGCAGUGAGCCUGUCAGUCCACAGGAGCAGAGUAUGCCCUCAGAGAUAAAUCAAGGUAGGGCACCGGCAUCUUGGGAACAGAUCUGUGCCAUGCAUUACCUUCUGCUGGCAUUCACAACUGUUCAAAUCUUGCACAAAAAUUCACUCUGCGAGAUACUGGACUCGUCUCUUCCCAAGACUCUGGCAACCUCAGCUGUGCGAGCUUAAGUCUUCAGUGUAAACAGAAGUAAAUCUCCAAAGCCUAAAGAAAAAUGAUGCAGGGGCUGCGAGAGCUGCAGGAGCUGCAGGAGCUCUGGGUGUUCUCAUCCCUGUAGGUCACCACUUUACCUAUGGACCUGCACUGUGGUAGGAAGGAAGACUUCUAAGCAGUUCCAUGGCCAUUCUUGGAUUCCUGAAUUGACUCUAAUUAUCCAGUUAGCUGGGGUAGGCUACUUGUAUCCUCUCUAAGCUCAUAGUUAAUUGUAAACUAGGAGUCAUAAGACUGCUGACAUCUUAAGGCUGCUGUACAAACUAAAUGGGAUAUGGUGUUUCCACUGCAUUUGACCCACAGUAGUUAUUUCACAGGUCUUUUCACUUAAUUGUUUUAGUUCAAAAAACAUUAAGAGGAAAAGUUAUGAAAAGAACUAAAGGCAACAACAGUCAGGAUAUUUAUUGUGGCAGGAAUAUCUUCACCCAUGUAAGUGGCCCAUGAUUAAUAGAUGGAUUGGAAGAAAAGGUGGUAAUUAGGUUCCAUGCUCAUGGAGAAAACAAAUGGUCCUCAAGACAUUGUUAAAGAUGGUAGAAA